rnacentral:rRNA from 1 species
CAGCAGCCGCGGGAAUACGUAGGUGGCAAGCGUUGUCCGGAAUUAUUGGGCGUAAAGGGCUCGCAGGCGGUUUCUUAAGUCUGAUGUGAAAGCCCCCGGCUCAACCGGGGAGGGUCAUUGGAAACUGGGAAACUUGAGUGCAGAAGAGGAGAGUGGAAUUCCACGUGUAGCGGUGAAAUGCGUAGAGAUGUGGAGGAACACCAGUGGCGAAGGCGACUCUCUGGUCUGUAACUGACGCUGAGGAGCGAAAGCGUGGGGAGCGAACAGGAUUAGAUACCCGUGUAGUCCCUGUCUCUUAUAC